UACGUAGGCAGCGAGCGUUGUUCGGAGUUACUGGGCGUAAAGGGUGUGUAGGCGGUUCUUUAAGUUUGGUGUGAAAUCUCCCCGGCUCAACCGGGAGGGUGCGCCGAAUACUGAGGGACUUCGAGUGCGGGAGAGGAAAGUGGAAUUCCUGGUGUAGCGGUGAAAUGCGUAGAUAUCAGGAGGAACACCGGUGGUGUAGACGGCUUUCUGGACCGUAACUGACGCUGAGACACGAAAGCGUGGGUAGCAAACAGG
rnacentral:rRNA from 1 species